rnacentral:misc_RNA from 1 species
AGUUUACCAUGAACGAAUAAGGGCGCGUCAAUGACAAAAUUCCAUGAAGGUCAUCAAGCGUAGAAGAGAAACAAACCAAACGGCUGAAAUAUCACGUACAAAAAAAGUUUAUAUCCCAAGGCAUCGCUCUGCCCAAGGCUGCGAGCGUAUCCUGUUUCUAAGUUGCUUUUAUCCUUUUUUUGUUCCCCCAGUGUGUUGACCCCGAUCAAAACUCGCUGAAAAAGCAGCUGCAACAACAAAAAAAUAUCGUUUCCCUGGGACUGACUCAUAAAAGAACUUUAUGACAAAGGAAAAUGUUCUCGAAACUUCUGAAACCGGAAAUGGCUUUCUUUUUUCCUCGAAACUUCCCAAAAAAGGAAAUGUUCCGUUCUGAUUGGUCGGCUUUUUACCCUUCCCCAGAUGCUGACUCGGAGACUCGCAUAGACGCGUAGAAAGCGUGACGAACUUGCAUAGGAACAGUGGACUGGGAUGGAGUAUAAAAAGGCCCCCCUGACGAUGCUACAGUACUUCAUUUUCUACAAGCAACCGUCGAGGCGAAAAGUGCUUCUAGAGUCUCCUAUUUUUGAAUCGCAACUUGUUCUUCGUGACUGCACAUCGCUGCACAUCGACAGGAAUGGACGGAGACUGUUUCAUAAAUUCUUGCUUUUCUUCGAUGAGCAACUCGACUGCUGAACUCACAAACAUUUCUGGAACAAACGCAGCUUCAAAAAAAUACGCAGAUCCUAAACUGAAUGCGGUAUGUAAAGUUAUGAUAGAGCGCCUUCGCCUUCCCAUCGAUUUCGAAAAAUCAUAUACAUAUCGUUCAACGAAAAAACCGCGCGUUUUUACCAUCUUUUCGGAUUCUGAAGAAGAAAUGGAGUCAAAAAUGGUAAACUUGAAAAAAACCAAGGAAAAAGUGCCAAUUAAAGGUACUAAACGACUCCUUCGGUUGUCUGAUUCUGAAGAUGAAGCAAUAACCCACAAAGACAAAAAGAGGAUCGCUCUAAACGAUUUACGUUUAGAGCCAUCGAAAAUGUCUUCAGAAUUUGUAACGGAGAAGUCGCUAAACACUCCAGAAGGAUUACGUGUCAUACGGCGAACAACUUCAUCGAAAGACGAAGAAAAUAUAACAUGCUUGACGCAAUAUCUACAAACAAAAAUUGAAGAAAUAACUCUUAGUUCCGACGAGGAAGAUUCAGAACCGAUACCACCAGUUUUGGUGCCAUUUGAACCUGAUUCCCCAUCAGAUACUGAAUCAAGUGCCAGCUCUACAGAUUGUGAUAUGCCAUCGAUAUCGCUACACUCCAACAUCACACCACCUGCUGUCGCAAGCCAAGAAGAAGAAAAAGAAUUAUCCGAAUCAAUUGAAACAAAGGAAGAAAAAUUAAAAAAUCUUCUUGCUUCUGGUAGGUUCAAAUCAAAAGAAAAAUCAACUAAACCAACAAGACCUCGGCCUUUUGUUAGCAGACGAGGGAAAAAAUUUCGCCAAAACGAAUCUACCAACUUCAAAAAGAAAAAGCCGUCAACGCUGAGACAUAAAAUUGAAGAAGAUCAGGAUCUAACAAGUUAUAACAAUUCUGUUAGACUGGCGCACCAAAAAAAUGGAUCUUCCACCACAUCCGGUGUUAACUUUCAGCCUGUUACUACAAUGGGGAAAAAAUUGCAUGAACCAAUUCCAACUUACAAACCAUUGAUUCCACAACCGCGUCCAGUAAAGGCAAAAUCAACCGCCACAUCUCGUAAUGACAAGUUGGCUGCUGAUUUGAUGAAAAGCAAAAACCAAUCCAUUAAAGAAAAGAAAGAAACCCCCAACGCAGCAUGGUCCUCAAAUUAUGUUAUUCCUCGCAAAGCGACGAAAACCAUAGAUUCUGGGUCGAAGGCUGAUUCGUCUAAAGGAAAACAUCCGUCUGAAGACGCCGAACUACUCACAAAUUCUGCAAGUGCAUCAAACGACAUUACUCCUUCCUUCAAGCCAGUGGUUAAUCGAGUAGCUAGAGGUACCGAGAAAGGAACUGAGAAACAACAUACACGACAACCUACAGCCAGUGCUACAGCCAACCGAGCCUUAAAUUCGAUCUUAAAUCUUGGUCGCUCACGUGAUGGUUCUUACGGGAAGAAAAGGUCCCUCUGCUUAUAGAUAUGAGAAAGUAGGAGAGCACCAAUUUAAACUUAAGAGCAUAGAUAGAUCCUCUUAGUUUACAAAUAUGCAACGCAAUAAUUAACUGCAGAAAACUCAAUUGGGAUAACUGGCCAAAAGUAGGAGGGGCAACCCAAAAAAAUUCCAUUACCGAGAAACCAUUACUUUUUUAAAAUCCAUUUUCCCAUUAUACCUAAAUAAUAAUAAUUAAAAAAAAAACGCAAUGAACCGUUCUGUUGGUUAAAAAAAAAAAUACUUACCUGCAAUUAUAUGAUUUCUUAUGUGUCGCUCGUAUGUUGUAUUCCGUUGGAUCCGCGAUUCUAUUUGAAAAAUUCCACUUAAAAAGAUAUUAUCAAGAACAGAGAAACAAUGUUGGAUAAAAUGUUAAUCGCAUCAGUGCAUUACAUUAUGUUUCGAACUUAUGAUUAUUGUAUUAGUUAUGCCUUAUUGAAAAUAAACUCUGGAUAUGCUUAAAACAAAAUCCCAUUGCUACUGCUCCCUACUGCUAUUGUGACAUCAAUAUUUUCAUAGCGAACAAAAUCAAGGAUUGAAAUAUGUGAUCACUGAAGGACAGUUUAGCCUUUCCACUAAAAUAACAAUCCAUUUCGAAAUGAAGUAAAAAUUUUCCUGUUCACGGCAGAUAUACGUAUGCAUUGUAUGCAAGGUUAAACGCCUCAUUUCAUAUCUUAUCUCGCUUUUGGUGAAGUGAUUGCGUUAUCUGUGAAGAGUGAAGUAAAUUGCUAAAGCCUGUUAGUGUGUAUAGUAUUCGUGUUACCUGUGAGUACAGAUUUAAAUGGUGGAAAAUAAAAAUCAGUUUCGUAUAUUGAGGUGAAACCAUGAAAUGGUCAUUCUUUCUAUUCUUGCGUUUGUCUGCGUAAUCAAGUUGGCAGGAGGCACACAGGUAUUCUGGGAAUUACCGAAUUGUAACGCAAUCGCUGAAUAUAACGGCCACACAUUAAAAAUAGAGAGGGCAUGCGAACAAGCAUCCUCGUUAUAUACUUUCCUCCUUUACCAAACAGUAGGGUUUAAAACGGAAUGUCAAUGGACCAGCUUUACUAGACAAAGUUUUUCUAUCUGUGAGAGUUUAACAACAUUGCCACAG